AUUGAACGCUGGCGGCAGGCCUAACACAUGCAAGUCGAACGGUAACAGGAAGCAGCUUGCUGCUUCGCUGACGAGUGGCGGACGGGUGAGUAAUGUCUGGGAAGCUGCCUGAUGGAGGGGGAUAACUACUGGAAACGGUAGCUAAUACCGCAUAAUGUCGCAAGACCAAAGAGGGGGACCUUCGGGCCUCUUGCCAUCGGAUGUGCCCAGAUGGGAUUAGCUUGUUGGUGGGGUAACGGCUCACCAAGGCGACGAUCCCUAGCUGGUCUGAGAGGAUGACCAGCCACACUGGAACUGAGACACGGUCCAGACUCCUACGGGAGGCAGCAGUGGGGAAUAUUGCACAAUGGGCGCAAGCCUGAUGCAGCCAUGCCGCGUGUAUGAAGAAGGCCUUCGGGUUGUAAAGUGCUUUCAGCGGGGAGGAAGGGAGUAAAGUUAAUACCUUUGCUCAUUGACGUUACCCGCAGAAGAAGCACCGGCUAACUCCGUG
rnacentral:rRNA from 1 species